UACGGAGGAUGCGAGCGUUAUCCGGAUUUAUUGGGUUUAAAGGGUGCGUAGGCGGACUGUCAAGUCAGCGGUAAAAUACGGGGGCUCAACCUCCGCCCGCCGUUGAAACUGACGGUCUUGAGUGGGCGAGAAGUAUGCGGAAUGCGUGGUGUAGCGGUGAAAUGCAUAGAUAUCACGCAGAACUCCGAUUGCGAAGGCAGCAUACCGGCGCCCAACUGACGCUGAAGCACGAAAGCGUGGGUAUCGAACAGG
rnacentral:rRNA from 3 species